rnacentral:misc_RNA from 1 species
UUGUGAUUGUAAUACCUCACUCAGGA